rnacentral:rRNA from 1 species
UACGUAGGGGGCAAGCGUUGUCCGGAAUCAUUGGGCGUAAAGCGCGUGUAGGCGGCUGGCUAAGUCCGCUCUGAAAGCCCGGGGCUCAACCCCGGGAGGCGGGUGGAUACUGGUCAGCUCGAGUCCGGAAGAGGAGUGUGGAAUUCCUGGUGUAGCGGUGAAAUGCGCAGAUAUCAGGAGGAACACCAAUGGCGAAGGCAGCUCUCUGGGACGGUACUGACGCUGAGACGCGAAAGCGUGGGGAGCGAACAGG